GGGGUCGACAUUGGAUUUGACAGCAGCUGCGAUUUUGGUGGGAAGCAUGUCGAGCGGUGAGAUGAAGCUCGUAAAUAUCUUGUCUCGAACUAUAAUUGACAACACGUCAUACGCACUUGCUGCUUAAUUUACUGAAUGUAAAUAAAGCUUAAUCCAGCCGAAGAUAUAGUAGGCGGACAAGUUUCUCCUCUACCGACUUUGAUUUUCGGUUAGUAGGCUUUGGAGAAUCAUUUUAGAAAAUCUGGCACCAAACUUUUCUCGAGGGCGGUGUGAGAUCUCAGAGGAUAAGUUGAAAUAUUGGGUGUUUUUGUCCGGAUUUCAAUCGAAAAUGAAUCAAAAACUAAACAUGUAGAAGACAUUGGAAUACGUUGUUUGGACGAGGGUUCAAACCCCUCCGACUCCACAA
rnacentral:tmRNA from 1 species